rnacentral:tRNA from 1 species
GCCGAGGUGGCGGAACUGGCAGACGCGCCUGACUCAAAAUCAGGUGAGUUUCACCGCUCGUGGGGGUUCGACUCCCCCCCUCGGCACCA